rnacentral:misc_RNA from 1 species
UACGAGGACCCCAAGCGUUAUCCGGAAUUACUGGGCGUAAAGCGCGAGCAGCCGGUUGUGUUAGUCUGGUGUUAAAUCUCAAGGCUUAACUUUGAGACCGCAUCGGAAACGGCACGACUAGAGCGGGUGAGAGGUAAGUAGAACGUGCAGUGUAGGGGUGAAAUCCAUUGAUAUUGCACGGAAUACCAAAAGCGAAGGCAGCUUACUGGUGCCUUGCUGACGGUCAAUCGCGAAAGCGUGGGGAUCAAAAAGG